rnacentral:rRNA from 1 species
AUUGAACGCUGGCGGCAGGCCUAACACAUGCAAGUCGAGCGGAUGAAGGGUGCUUGCUCCUGGAUUCAGCGGCGGACGGGUGAGUAAUGCCUAGGAAUCUGCCUGGUAGUGGUGGAUAACGUCCUGAAACGGGCGCUAAUAUCACAUACGUCCUGAUGGUGAAAGUUGGGGAUCUUCGGACCUCACGCUAUCAGAUGAGCCUAGGUCGGAUUAGCUAGUUUGUGGGGUAAGGGCCUACCUAGGCGACGAUCCGUGAAUGGUCUGUGAGAAUGAUAGGCCACAUUGGAAGUGGGACAGGGUCAAGACGACUGAGGGAGGGCGCAGUGGGGAAUAGUGGGCAAUGGGGGAAAGCAUUACCCAGCCAGGCGGCGUGUGUGAAGAAGGUCCUGCGAUUGGAAAGCACUUUAAGUUGGGAGGAAGCGCAGUAAGUUAAUACCUUGCUGUUUUGACGUUACCAGGAGAAGAAGCACCGGCUAACUUCGUG